AGACGUAGGGGGCGAGCGUUGUCCGGAAUCACUGGGCGUAAAGAGCACGUAGGCGGGAAUUUAAGUCAGGUGUGAAAGACCGCAGCUUAACUGCGGGGUUGCACUUGAAACUGAAUUUCUUGAGGGCAGGAGAGGAAAGCAGAAUUCCUGGUGUAGCGGUGAAAUGCGUAGAAAUCAGGAGGAAUACCGGUGGCGAAGGCGGCUUUCUGGACUGACCCUGACGCUGAGGUGCGAAAGCGUGGGUAGCAAACAGGAUUAGAUACCCUGGUAGUCCACGCUGUAAACGAUGGAUACUAGGUGUAGGAGGUAUCGACCCCUUCUGUGCCGCAGCUAACGCAAUAAGUAUCCCGCCUGGGGAGUACGGUCGCAAGGCUGAA
rnacentral:rRNA from 1 species